UUUUUUUUUAUUAUAUAAGGUAGUUUUUUCUUGUUACAUGCACAUAAAAAGAAAUAUGGUUAAAGUUUUCAAAUUUGUUUAUGUUAUGAUUCUCUUUUCGUUCUCAUUUUUUGUUUUGGCAGAUGCCUUUUUUACUUAUUGUGAUAGUGAUGUUGAUUGUGUACAUCAUGAAUGCAAUUUACCUGAAACAGCAGCAUGCUUGAUCAAUUUAUGUUUAUGUGCUUUUAACAUGACAAGCAACGCAAGACAAAUAUUUUAGUCACAACAAAGAUAUCAAGUGAUACAUAAUAUGUCAGGUGGUCGUAAAUUUGUUGUAUAAAUACAAAAUACAAAAUUAUUUUAUUAUAAUAUUUCUGAUAUUUUAAUUAAUUUCUCUUGAAUAAUCA